GUGAAGAUUUGGGCAGGCCAUACGGACGCCAAAAAGUGUCCCUGGCCGCCUACACCCACUAUACAUCCACAAACCCGUGUGCACUGUCUUGGAGAAAGGCUUCAGAGAAGUUUUUUGUGGCCUCUCUUGGGGUCUUUCUUCGCUACAAACAUUAAAGUAACAAACGUAGUCUUAUUAUAAUCUAAUA
rnacentral:misc_RNA from 1 species